CACAAUUUUGUCAAGUCUUCGAUCAACGAAAUCAAAUAGACCUCAAUAUCAUUCCCUGGCUGUCUUGGAGCCACUAUCAUCAUGCAAAGCAUUAUGUACUUUUGCUUCAUGCACAAUCAAGGAGGGAAGUUGUAAAUCAUUAGCAAAACAGACUAUGAACUGUGAUUGGUGCUUAAGUUACUAAAUGGAUUCAUUCCAUCCGAAGCAAGACCAAUCCUUAGAUUUCUUGGCUCAUUCCCAAAAUAAUGUCUUCCAUUGCGGACUAUCAG
rnacentral:misc_RNA from 1 species